rnacentral:rRNA from 1 species
CUAUACAUGCAGUCGAGCGAGCCGAACUAAUUGAUUACCUUCGGGUAUGAAGUUAGGGAAGCGAGCGGCGGAUGGGUGAGUAACACGUGGGUAACCUACCCUAUAGUCUGGGAUACCACUUGGAAACAGGUGCUAAUACCGGAUAAAAGGAGAGAUCACAUGAUUUCUUUUUGAAAGGCGGCGUAAGCUGUCGCUAAAGGAUGGACCCGCGGUGCAUUAGCUAGUUGGUAAGGUAACGGCUUACCAAGGCAACGAUGCAUAGCCGAGUUGAGAGACUGAUCGGCCACAUUGGGACUGAGACACGGCCCAAACUCCUACGGGAGGCAGCAGUAGGGAAUCUUCCACAAUGGACGCAAGUCUGAUGGAGCAACGCCGCGUGAGUGAAGAAGGUUUUCGAAUCGUAAAGCUCUGUUGUUGGUGAAGAAAGAUAGUGAGAGUAACUGCUCAUUAUUUGCCGGUAAUCAACCAGAAAGUCACGGCUAACUACGUGCCAGCAGCCGCGGUAAUACGUAGGUGGCAAGCGUUGUCCGGAUUUAUUGGGCGCAAAGCGAGCGCAGGCGGAAAGAUAAGUCAGAUGUGAAAGCCCUCGGCUUAACCGAGGAAUAGCAUCGGAAACUGUCUUUCUUGAGUGCAGAAGAGGAGAGUGGAACUCCAUGUGUAGCGGUGGAAUGCGUAGAUAUAUGGAAGAACACCAGUGGCGAAGGCGGCUCUCUGGUCUGUAACUGACGCUGAGGCUCGAAAG